AUUUUGGCUCCAUGUUUUCGUACUUUUGAAUUUGAAAUUUGAAAUUCACACUCUAUAAUGCAAGUUCUUCUCUCUCCUAAUUCUUUCAUUUGAAAUUUACAUUUCCCUGCUCCUAAUUUUCUCUCUCUAUACGUUCUUCAUGUUGUUCAAUAGAAGCCCUAAAUCGGUCAUAUUUUGAAGGAUUUCUUAUCUGAAAUCGCUGUUAGGGGCUACAAUCGAACGAAAAAGAGGCUGAGUGGUAUCUGUAUUCUCAUAAUCGAAAGAAGGAUGAAGGGAAGCAACGAACUGGGUUCUAAUAGGGCUUUCAAGGGUAACUUUAUCAGGGUUUUGAGUGAGAUAUAGUGCCGAAAAAUGAAGCAGCUUAAGAACCAUUAGCAGUUUCUCCAGCGUUGGUGCUUGAAUAUGAGGUUUUUACGGUUUAGAGAGAGAAGGAGAGAACUAGAAAAGGAUAGUUCAGGAGAAACAGAGAGAGAACGAGAAAGGAAAGAGCUUAAGAGAAAGAUAAAGAGAUUUUUGAUGUAUUUUGUUUUGUGCUCAGGGCAAGCUUCCAUGUGAAUUCUACAAAGUAAAAGAUCUUGAAGCCCAAUGCUUUACUGGAAAAUCCUUGGUCAAAAUUUUUCUGAAUAAGGAUCCAAUGGUUGAUCUGUUUUUCACCGUCGAUGGAGAUGAUGUAAUUUGCAGCUGACUAUAUCAAUCAGAAAUUGUUUAUGAAUGAUAUUAUUGAAAUUAAGAGGCUGAGUUUGAACGGGUAUCCUCUACGAACCAACAUGUCCAUUGCAGGAAAAUUGAAUCCAGACAAUGAUACCAUUAUUCUUCGGUUACAAAUUUGUUUGUUUUGAUCUGUCUGCACGAAAUGAAUAAUUUUUUACACUUUGUGGUUGGAUUGGAUUUAUUGGAUGAUGAUAGCAAGCCAAAAAGGCAUAUUCAAUCCUGCCUUGAUACUUUGUGUGUUUUUGGUAAGCAAAUCUCUAUACCCUAAAUAAGGUAUGUGUACGAAUUAAUCAAUUUUUUAAUCAUUCACACCUGUGUUGAUAUCUUUGACUUUAUUUCAACUUCGUAAUCUAAGAGCAUGGCAACCAUCUCCGUCCUCCUUGUGGGGUGGUAUUUCUAAAUACAAAGUCCUUCACUAUUGUUUAUCAUAGGUUGUUAGCUUGACUUGUAAGUUGGUAUUUCACCAAUGCAGGCAGGUGACAUUGACCAUCUAGCUGUCAUUUCUUACAACUCAUAAUAUUGCACAUGGAUUGAUCUCAGAAAAUCUCCUGUACUACAAUAUCUAUACUACCUUGCCCAGGUUUCCAACGCUAACAAAUGGGCUAUCAAGCAAUUAGUUGUUUCAUGAGGCGCAAGGUUUACUCAUAGCUGCUAUAAUUCCCAUGGCAUUUUUUACUCCUUAUUUUUUAUCUGAUGAUUCCGUUGGGUUUUUACCCGCUUUGUGUA